GACGUAGGGGACGAGCGUUGUCCGGAUUCAUUGGGCGUAAAGCGCGUGUAGGCGGCUUUGCAAGUCGGAUGUGAAAGCCCACGGCUCAACCGUGGAAGUGCAUCCGAAACUGCAUGGCUCGAGUCUCGGAGAGGAAGGUGGAAUGCUUGGUGUAGAGGUGAAAUUCGUAGAUAUCAAGCAGAACACCUGCGGCGAAGGCGGCCUUCUGGACGAUGACUGACGCUGAGACGCGAAAGCGUGGGGAGCAAACAGG
rnacentral:rRNA from 1 species